UACAGAGGUCCCAAGCGUUGUUCGGAUUCACUGGGCGUAAAGGGUGCGUAGGCGGCCUAAUAAGUCAGUGGUGAAAGCCUCCAGCUUAACUGGAGAACUGCCAUUGAUACUGUUAGGCUUGAGUAUACUUGAGGUAGGCGGAAUUAACAGUGUAGCGGUGAAAUGCAUAGAUAUUGUCAAGAACACCAAUUGCGAAGGCAGCUUACUAAAUUAUAACUGACGCUGAGGCACGAAAGUGUGGGUAUCAAACAGG
rnacentral:rRNA from 1 species